AAGGUUGCAAUGAUAAUAAAAAAUUCCUCGUACUGAAUGCUUAUGUAUAUUUGCAUGACAGACUCUUCUAUACACCCAUAGAAUCUGAGCAACU
rfam:Daucus carota subsp. sativus cultivar DH1 chromosome 3, whole genome shotgun sequence.